UACGAAGGGGGCAAGCGUUGUUCGGAAUUACUGGGCGUAAAGGGCGCGUAGGCGGCUUACCAUGUCAGGCGUGAAAUUCCCGGGCUCAACCUGGGGGCUGCGCUUGAUACUGGUGAGCUUGAAUGCGGGAGAGGAUAGUGGAAUUCCCAGUGUAGAGGUGAAAUUCGUAGAUAUUGGGAAGAACACCGGUGGCGAAGGCGGCUAUCUGGCCCGUAAUUGACGCUGAGGCGCGAAAGCGUGGGGAGCAAACAGG
rnacentral:rRNA from 1 species